rnacentral:lncRNA from 1 species
GCCUCCGCUCCCGGAAGCAGCCCCGGCGGCGCUCGGGCCGCCGUCCCCGGGCUCGGGCGGCGCGGAGCUGUGGGUGUGCGGACGCGUGUGUGUUUCUCCCAGGCCGGGGCCAGGGAGGGGCGUGCGCCGAACGUGUCUGAGGUGACUCUUCCCGCCGCCCCCGGAACCCUGCUUGGUUCUCCUGAAGUGUCCUGCGGUCCGAGGAAAGUGACCCUACGCGCCGCUGAAGCCCUCCUCGCCGCCCACAGACGGGUGCCCAGAUCCGCAGGACGAGCAUCCCCGCACACCCUCGCCCUCGACCCUCCAGCCUUCUCUAGAGACCCCUAGACCUUGAACUCCCACUCCCAACAACACUGACCACCUGUCCCACCAGGCCUGAUAAACUUUACCAUACUUUUCAGCCAGAACUGUAUGACCGUCCUUCAGACACAGACACAUGGAAAUAUUCUGGGUGUCUACUUCUAUCCUGAUUCUGACCACCAACCCAUUUCUACUGAAGUCUUUGGCUCAGGGGUGAAGACUUUCCCCUCUGUUUCUGUCUUCCAGCGUUUGUUUAGCUUUUUGCCUUCUGUUCCCACCUCAUUGGCGUUACCAUGGCCAGUCCCCUUUGCCCCUUUUCCCGUUUCAGUGUCCUGAUCUAGGUUUCUUCUCGGUUCUCUUCCCAAGAUGCUGGUUCCUCUUCCUUCUCACAUACUUGCUUAUUAGUUCAUCUGCUUUGGUCUUAAUCCUGCUUUAUUCUUGAACCCCCUCCCCACCCCCCAAUCCACUAACCUUUCUUUUUCACACUGUUAAAACAUUUCUGAUGGCUUAACAAUUGGACCUUCACAUAGCCCAAAUCUGAAAUUACUGACAGCACUCAGAACUUUUCUCUGCAUUCUCUGCCAGCAUUUUUCCCCCUCAGAUCCUGGUGGCUUCUUGCCUAAUAAUUUGAUAGUUUGUAAACACCAGCUAUUUGAUUAUUUACGGGGUGAAUUUAUCAUUAUAUAGAUAUAGUUUCUAUUAUUCUUACUAAAGGCUAGUAAUGGGUUUGAUCACAAAGUAGACACCUGAAUAAGAGGUAAGUUCUGGGGUGUCAAUGAAAUUUUAAGUACAUAUAAUAGAUAAAGACCAAAGUAGUCUAAGUUGAAAGCAUCCUGUCACAGAAUAUACACCAACACAAUAGGUCAGGGCACCUGUAAUCCCAGCCCUCCAGAAGCUGAGCCUGGGAGAUCUCCAGUUCAAGAAUAGCCUGAAUUACGUAUACAUAGCAAGACCUUGCCACAGAACGACCAACUGUACCAUUUACCAAGUCAGAUACCGUUGAUGCUGGCAAUGCCAUGGAGAACAAAAGGACCAUUUAAUGAUGGAAAGCAAAAUAAAAACAUUCCAUUUCUA